rnacentral:rRNA from 1 species
CAAGUCGAACGCGAAAGCCCCGCAAGGGGUAAGUAGAGUGGCGAACGGGUGAGUAACACGUGGGUGACCUACCUUCGAGUGGGGGAUAACGUCCCGAAAGGGACGCUAAUACCGCAUAACAUCCUGCUCUUGAACGAGUGGAGAUCAAAGCCGGGGAUCGCAAGACCUGGCGUUUGAAGAGGGGCCCGCGUCUGAUUAGCUAGUUGGUGAGGUAACGGCCCACCAAGGCAACGAUCAGUAUCCGGCCUGAGAGGGCGGACGGACACACUGGGACUGAGACACGGCCCAGACUCCUACGGGAGGCAGCAGUGGGGAAUUGUUCGCAAUGGGCGCAAGCCUGACGACGCAACGCCGCGUGGAGGAUGAAGGUCUUCGGAUUGUAAACUCCUGUUGCCCGGGACGAAAAGUUUCGACCUAACACGUCGAGAUCUGACGGUACCGGGUGAGGAAGCCCCGGCUAACUCUGUGCCAGCAGCCGCGGUAAUACAGAGGGGGCAAGCGUUGUUCGGAAUUACUGGGCGUAAAGGGCGCGUAGGCGGCCUUCUAAGUCGAACGUGAAAUCCCCGGGCUCAACCCGGGAACUGCGUCCGAUACUGGAAGGCUUGAAUCCGGGAGAGGGAUGCGGAAUUCCAGGUGUAGCGGUGAAAUGCGUAGAUAUCUGGAGGAACACCGGUGGCGAAGGCGGCAUCCUGGACCGGUAUUGACGCUGAGGCGCGAAAGCCAGGGGAGCAAACGGGAUUAGAUACCCCGGUAGUCCUGGCCCUAACGAUGAAUGCUUGGUGUGGCGGGUAUCGAUCCCUGCCGUGCCGAAG